rnacentral:rRNA from 1 species
GACGAGGCACCACGGUGCUGAAGCAACAAAUGCCCUGCUUCCAGGAAAAGCCUCUAAGCCUCAGGUAACAUCAAAUCGUACCCCAAACCGACACAGGUGGUCAGGUAGAGAAUACCAAGGCGCUUGAGAGAACUCGGGUGAAGGAACUAGGCAAAAUGGUGCCGUAACUUCGGGAGAAGGCACGCUGACACGUAGGUGAAGUGGUUUACCCAUGGAGCUGAAGUCAGUCGAAGAUACCAGCUGGCUGCAACUGUUUAUUAAAAACACAGCACUGUGCAAACACGAAAGUGGACGUAUACGGUGUGACGCCUGCCCGGUGCCGGAAGGUUAAUUGAUGGGGUCAGCGCAAGCGAAGCUCCUGAUCGAAGCCCCGGUAAACGGCGGCCGUAACUAUAACGGUCCUAAGGUAGCGAAAUUCCUUGUCGGGUAAGUUCCGACCUGCACGAAUGGCGUAAUGAUGGCCAGGCUGUCUCCACCCGGGACUCAGUGAAAUUGAACUCGCUGUGAAGAUGCAGUGUACCCGCGGCAAGACGGAAAGACCCCGUGAACCUUUACUAUAGCUUGACACUGAACACUGGUCCUUGAUGUGCAGGAUAGGUGGGAGGCUUUGAAGUGUGGACGCCAGUCUGCAUGGAGCCAUCCUUGAAAUACCACCCUUUAAUGGCUGGUGUUCUAACGUGGGCCCGUGAACCGGGUUGCGGACAGUGUCUGGUGGGUAGUUUGACUGGGGCGGUCUCCUCCUAAAGAGUAACGGAGGAGCACGAAGGUUGGCUAAUCCUGGUCGGACAUCAGGAGGUUAGUGCAAUGGCAUAAGCCAGCUUGACUGCGAGCGUGACGGCGCGAGCAGGUGCGAAAGCAGGUCAUAGUGAUCCGGUGGUUCUGAAUGGAAGGGCCAUCGCUCAACGGAUAAAAGGUACUCCGGGGAUAACAGGCUGAUACCGCCCAAGAGUUCAUAUCGACGGCGGUGUUUGGCACCUCGAUGUCGGCUCAUCACAUCCUGGGGCUGAAGUAGGUCCCAAGGGUAUGGCUGUUCGCCAUUUAAAGUGGUACGCGAGCUGGGUUUAGAACGUCGUGAGACAGUUCGGUCCCUAUCUGCCGUGGGCGCUGGAAGAUUGAGGGGGGCUGCUCCUAGUACGAGAGGACCGGAGUGGACGCAUCACUGGUGUUCGGGUUGUCAUGCCAAUGGCACUGCCCGGUAGCUACAUGCGGAAGAGAUAAGUGCUGAAAGCAUCUAAGCACGAAACUUGCCCCGAGAUGAAUCUUCCCUGAGCCUUUAAGGCUCCUGAAGGAACGUUGAAGACGACGACGUUGAUAGGCCGGGUGUGUAAGCGCAGCGAUGCGUUGAGCUAACCGGUACUAAUGAACCGUGAGGCUUAACCUUACA